UCCUGUACACACACACACCAGGAGUGGAGAAGAUGCCAGUUGUCAGGACCAGGACUUUGGCGUGGUUUUUUUUCCCAUGGUGCAAAGGAUUUGGACCGGACAUGGCGUGAAGUGGGACAGUGCAGCCCAUAAUGAGAGGAUGUGCACAGCCACACCGGGGACACUAUUGAUCUGCUCCACCACUGGGAAGACCGGAGUUCUAUAAUGAUGACUAUCUGUGAUCCCUCAGCCUUCCUAUGCUCGCCUGCUUCUAUGCGGGUCCAUUUUUUAGAAACAACAAAAGAAUGGCAUUUAAUCAUGUUUUCAAUCUGCUGUUAUUCCUCGCAACUUUGGAAGCAGACCACUCUAUGGAGAUGUAAUCAUUGAA